rnacentral:rRNA from 1 species
AUGAAUGCUGGCGGCGUGUCUAAGGCAUGCAAGUCGAACGGGUCAUUUUUUGUAGCAAUACAAAAAGUGGCUAGUGGCAAACGGGUGCGUAACACAUUGGUAACCUACCUCCCAGUCGGGCAUAACCCACCGAAAGGUGGACUAAUUCCACGAUGGACAUGAGGGGACGAAAGUUCUUCUCAUGUAAAGCGCAAAACGCGCUGGGAGAGGGGCCUAUGGCCCAUCAGCUAGUUGGUAAGGUAACGGCUUACCAAGGCUAUGACGGGUAGGGGGUGUGAGAGCACGACCCCCCUCACUGGGACUGAGACACUGCCCAGACACCUACGGGUGGCUGCAGUCGAGAAUAUUCCCCAAUGGACGCAAGUCUGAGGGAGCGACGCCGCGUGUGGGAAGAAGGCCUUCGGGUCGUAAACCACUUUUGCCGAGGAAGAAAUCUGACGGUACUCGGAGAAUAAGAGGUUGCUAACUCUGU